rnacentral:rRNA from 1 species
GUUAUACCGCAUAAUAUCUGUGGAUUAAAGGUGGCUUUCGGGCUGUCGCAGAUGGAUGAGCCUGCGUUGGAUUAGCUAGUUGGUGGGGUAAGGGCCCACCAAGGCUACGAUCCAUAGCUGAUUUGAGAGGAUGAUCAGCCACAUUGGGACUGAGACACGGCCCAAACUCCUACGGGAGGCAGCAGUGGGGAAUAUUGGACAAUGGGGGCAACCCUGAUCCAGCAAUGCCAUGUGUGUGAAGAAGGCCCUAGGGUUGUAAAGCACUUUAGUUGGGGAGGAAAGCCUCAAGGUUAAUAGCCUUGGGGGAGGACGUUACCCAAAGAAUAAGCACCGGCUAACUCCGUGCCAGCAGCCGCGGUAAUACGGGGGGUGCAAGCGUUAAUCGGAAUUACUGGGCGUAAAGGGUCUGUAGGUGGUUUGUUAAGUCAGAUGUGAAAGCCCAGGGCUCAACCUUGGAACUGCAUUUGAUACUGGCAAACUAGAGUACGGUAGAGGAAUGGGGAAUUUCUGGUGUAGCGGUGAAAUGCGUAGAGAUCAGAAGGAACACCAAUGGCGAAGGCAACAUUCUGGACCGAUACUGACACUGAGGGACGAAAGCGUGGGGAUCAAACAGGAUUAGAUACCCUGGUAGUCCACGCUGUAAACGAUGAGUACUAGCUGUUGGAGUCGGUGUAAAGGCUCUAGUGGCGCAGCUAACGCGAUAAGUACUCCGCCUGGGGACUACGGCCGCAAGGCUAAAACUCAAAGGAAUUGACGGGGACCCGCACAAGCGGUGGAGCAUGUGGUUUAAUUCGAUGCAACGCGAAGAACCUUACCUGGUCUUGACAUCCUGCGAACUUUCUAGAGAUAGAUUGGUGCCUUCGGGAGCGCAGUGACAGGUGCUGCACGGCUGUCGUCAGCUCGUGUUGUGAAAUGUUGGGUUAAGUCCCGCAACGAGCGCAACCCCUAUUGAUAGUUACCAUCAUUAAGUUGGGUACUCUAUUGAGACUGCCGCUGACAAGGCGGAGGAAGGUGGGGACGACGUCAAGUCAUCAUGGCCCUUACGACCAGGGCUACACACGUGCUACAAUGGGUAUUACAGAGGGCUGCGAAAGGUGCGA